GGACGUCGAAGGUGGGGCUGAUGACUGGGGUGAAGUCGUAACAAGGUAUCCGUACCGGAAGGUGCGGAUGGAUCACCUCCUAACAGGGAGACAACACAAUGAUUUUGAUGCCUGAGUACUAUUAUUCUUAGGCCGAAAUCCUGUCACCUCAGGUCGAUCGGUACCUCAGCUUUGAAGUCAAGGAUCAGCAGCAAUGUUGAUUACUUGAUGGAGAUUUUUAGUUCCUAAACUUUGUCUAGGUCACACCCCAAAAGGGAUGAGACUCCUGGGCCAUUAGCUCAGGUGGUUAGAGCGCACCCCUGAUAAGGGUGAGGUCCCUGGUUCAAGUCCAGGAUGGCCCAUUCGGUGUUGGGGGUUUAGCUCAGUUGGUAGAGCGCCUGCUUUGCAAGCAGGAUGUCAGGAGUUCGAGUCUCCUAACCUCCACUGACCGAACUUGAUUCCCAUCUCCAAUUUUUUGGAGUUGAGCUCGAUUGGAGUGUGAUUUAGAUGUGUCCGCUGGAUGACCCCAGCAUCCUGUCAUUCCAAGUUUUAGAUUUAAGUCUUGAAUUUGGUUGAUAAGAUGCUGGGCUCGGAUCAAAUAAUCAAGCAAUUGAUGAUUUGAUUUGAAGUUCUAGCAGAACCUUGACAACUGCAUAGGUGAAGUCUGGAAAAGCAAAGCAUCUUACAGAUGCAUUGUUUUGAAUCUGAUCUUCUAAAAGGGAGAUUGGAUCUAGAACAAUGAAAAUUCUUUUGAGCAAGAGCCGAGACUCUUAAACGUUCUUUGAUUCGUGUCGAGCGAAUCAAAGUUUGAUCUUGUUUUUAGCAAUAAAAACAUGAGAAUCUGCUUUCAACGGCGGUAAGCGUUUAAGAGGUUAAUUGGUCAAGCUACAAAGGGC
rnacentral:misc_RNA from 1 species